GGUAGCUCAGUGGGUAAAGCAUCUGCUUACAUGCAGAAGGUCCCAGGUUCAAUCCCCAGCAUCUCCA